AGAUUGAAGCAUCUCUCUGGACUUUGCAGGGAAUUGACAGAUUGAAGGAAGCUUCUACGGCUUUAAAGUUUCAUUCUUGGGCAACCUUCUGCUACCUCAAGGACCCGCAGGUCAGUCUUAAGCUACCUCUCCGGUAGCUGCAACAAUUUGAUCACCUUUGAAGGAACGUUAUAUUCAGGUCUAUUUUGAUCGCUUUUGGCCCCU
rnacentral:misc_RNA from 1 species